CGCAAAAGUCCAAAUUCAGACUGUGAAACAUUUAAUUCUACCAAUAUAUAAUUAAUGCAAGUCAAACACAUGAAAGUUAAAGAAGACUGUAAUCACAACAUUUACAUUUUUUCCAAAAGAAGAAGUAACUCAAUUUACGACAAUAAACAAUCCAGGCCUCAGAGUCUUGUACAUUAGAAAGUUGGACCCCGCCCCACAAACACACACACACAAACACACACACACAGGUGUAGUUUAGAAGACAGACGUAGGUGUAAAUGUUUUUACUAAGGUUUUCAUUUGCCUGGGUAAGCUAACAUACAGAAGGAAAUGUUUUCUGAUAGGUAAUAUGUAUUCUUACCCUAAAUAAAUUAUUAUUAUUUAUAUAUUUUUUAAAAGCAGGGCUUACCCACGGAUGAAAGAAGGUUAAAGUUGAGAUUCGUUCUCCAAAAUGGCAUUCCUUCUGUUUGAGUUUUGGUGGGUACCUCACCAAUAUAGAUGCCAACUAUUUCCAUAAUCCGUAGCAAGUUGCAAAAUCACCCGUUUUAGUUCAGGUAGUACUUGCUGCUUUAAAAAAGAAAUCCCCACAUCUCGAAACUUAAAAUAAAACUUCAUAGCCUGGCAUGGUGGCUCUGGCCUGUAAUCCCAGUGUUUCAGGAGGCUGAGGUGGAAGGACUGCUUGAGGUCAGAAGUUUGAGAUCAGCCUGGUCAACAUAGCAAGACCCUGUUUCUGCAACAAAUGAAAAAAAUAACUAGGUGUGGUGGCGCAUGCCUGUAGUCCUAGCUACUCAGGAGGCUUAGCAAGAGAAUUGCUUGAGGCCAGGAGUUUGAGGCUGCAGUGAGCUGUGAUUGCACCACUGCACUCUUGCCUAGGCAACAGAGCAAGACUCUGUCUAUAAAAAAUAAAAUAAAAUAAAUUGAACUUACGACAUCUGAAUUUUAUUCCUGGACAUAGACCAUCUCUUAACCCCUCUGGCCUCAGCUUUGGUAUCAGCACAAUGGGAACAGUAUUACCCACCACCCGGCAAUGUGGUCAGUGUAAAAGAACAUAACAAAUAUCAGUGAGCCUCCCACCCUCUUAUAUCUGGAGUGGAAUGUGCUUUCUGCGUGGAGUGCUGCGUGUCUCUGAAGUUCCCCACAAGCCAUUGGCCCUCACAGACUUUGUUCUUCACUGUCAUUUCCAAGUCUGUCCUGGUUACUGUUGUGUGUGGUGUAGAUAAAGCACUUCUCAUUUUCUUAGUAUCUCGACUACAGGGGAAAAUUAUAGUCAUUAACGCAUACUAUUAAAUUAUGUCAAACACUAGACUCAAAAUUUCUGCUGAAUACCAAGUAGGUUUUGGUUAAAAGGAAAAUCUGAUGUAGAUUUAGGACUCUGCUUGGGAUUGUCCCUCUAGCCUCCCCUCUGCUCUGCCCCAUCUUCUUCAAGGUGGUAUAAUACGUUGCUGAAUUUCAAAGGAGAUAGGAAUAAAUAGCCCGUGGGAGAUCUGGGCCAGGGGUAAAGUCCAACCUUGAACCUGGCAGUGUCAGACUCUGGACCUGAGUCAGGGGCUGCGGUGUACCAGCGCAGCUGUGGGAAGAAGCAAGUGCCCUCUUCCCAUGCAGCCUGGCUGUGGCAGGUCUCCCAUGGGCACCCUCGGGUCUAACCUUGCGGCAACCUUGCAGCCCCCAAAUGCAAGCUCCUUUUAAAAAAGUGGCAGUCACGUGUUUACCAAAGUUUUCACUGGGAGACCCAGAAAAAGGUCUCUAUCACUCACCGCCUGUCAGACAACUUCAGAACCUGCCCUGUAACAUUGCAGCCCCCGUCAUUCCCCUUUCCUGCUACCCGUCUGCCAGCCACUCAAUUUCCCCUGGCCCCACCCCAACCCUGUAUUAGCCACUGCCUUACUUUUCAUUUAUUUUUCUGUUGUGUGUUGGAAAAUUCAGCUCUGUACCAACUCCUCCUCUCCUGCAUCUCCAUACUCAUCACCCCCUCAGCAGGGGGCCCUGAUGAGGGAUUCACCUCCCCGCCAUCUCCAUAGCCAUCACUCACUCAGCAGAGGGCGCCUGAUGAGGGAUUCACCUCCCUGGGAGGCAGCUGGGGUGGUAAUGUACACAUUUAUAAGUGCUUUCCUUUCUCUCUAUGGUACCAUGGAUGGCACAGUGUGAGGCUCUACGACUCCAGCAAUGAUUAAGAAGCAGGUCUUGGCCAGGCAUGGCGGUCACACCUGUAAUCCCAACACUUUUGGAGACCAAGGUGGGAUCAUUGCUUGAAGCCAGGAGAUCAAGACCAGAUUGGACAGCACAGCAAGACCCUGUCUCUACCAAACACUUUAAAAAAUAAACUUUGUGAGGUGUUGUGCACCUGUACUCCCAGCUGCUCAGAAGGCUGAGGCAGGAGAACUGCUUGAGCCUAGGAGGUCGAGGUUGCAGUGAGCUGUGAUCCCACCACUGCACUCUAGCCUGAGUGACAGUGAGAUUUUGCUGAAAGAAAGAAAGAAGGAAAGAAAGAGAGAAAGAAAGAAAAAGAAGGAAGGAAGAAAGGAAGAAAGAGAAAGAAAGGGAGAAAGAAAGGAAGAAAGAAAGAGAAAGAAAGAAAAAGAAAGGAGAGAGAGAAAGAAAAAGAAAGGAAGGAAGGAAGCAAGGAAGGAAGGAAGGAAGGAAGGAAGGAAGGAAGGAAGGAAGGAAGGAAGGAAGAAUCAGGUCUUGUCCACAAAGUGCUCUCCCUCUGUGGGGUGAGCAGCCAGCUUUCUGUGCCUCUGUGGGGUGAGCAGCCAGCUUUCUGUGCCUCUGUGGGGUUAGCAGCCAGCUUUCUGUGCCUCUGUGGGGUGAGCAGCCAGCUUUCUGUGGUGGCUUAGUUUUCCAUCAUGCAUUUAACGUCGUUCAUCACUGUUUGUGCUCAUAAGAACCCCCUCCAGGAAGACAGACUUCCUCAUCCGCACACAGCAGCAGGUGAUGCAGGGCCUGUGAGUUGUGGCUCCUCUGGCAUCACAUGGGGAUCUCAGGCAGAAUAGACCACAGCCUCUCAUGUUUUAAGAAAAUGUGGUUUUGAUUCUAUAAUAGAAAACUCACAGGCCAUCCAAGAGAAUUCCAAAUGACGAAAUGAACAGAGCAGGCUUCAUUACCACACGGAGCCUCCCUCUCUGUGGAGGCAUUUGGAAUUUGGUGAGGACUCACCAUGUCCCUAUAACAAGAACCAGGGCAGUAUCUGGAACCUGCACCCCAAGGCCUCCCAGAGAGGAAAACAACAGGGCAUUCCCAGGGAAUCGCGCCUUCCCCUUGCUCUCAUCUCCAACCUGCCCCAUCUCCUGGAAAAACAUAGAAUAAACUUUCUGCUUUGAGUCUGGAAUUUGGAGCCAGCUCUGGUGGAAGGAAGAGGGUGCCAGCCCUCCAGAUACCCAGCCGCCAGCCCUGGGCCCCUUCACAACUUCCGUGGUGCCUCUUCCUUUCUGGCAGAGUUGCUGAUGGGAGCUGAGCAGGGCCAUCCAUCCGUGCAGCUGCAUAUGUUUAAUCAGGGGUCUGUCUGACGGUGCUGGGGCUCAGCGAAGCAGCUCCCGCGCUGCGAAAAAGCGCUGAUCGAUGCUCCACUGUUCUUUCAUUUAUGGGUGGCUCUCCUCCUCCCAUGCCCUCCCCCUCCCCCACUGCUUCUGUGCACCCAUGACAGCGUGAGAGGCUUGGGAGAGCAAGACUGCUCCAGCAGACGCCUUCUUGCACAUCCAGAAAACCAGGGGACAGUUUCCACGUGGACUUGGAGGGGCUGGAGACGCAGCUGCACCAGGCCGCCCUGCAAGUAGAGGGAGGAGGUCCCGCGGAAUGGCUUCACUAUAGUCUUCCCAACUGUCGGGCAUUCUGCCCUCUUCCUUUUAGGCGCAGAUUCCUGUACAGUUCAAAGCAGUAGCUGAAAGAGGCAUGUUAAGUAGUCAACAAGGCUCCUGGAAGCUUUGUCACUCACCUCCAGUGUUCAGAUUUCCCGUCCUCGUAGACCAGGGCCUUUUGACCUGGGCCCCACGGACAUUUUGGCUGGAUCAUUCUUUCUUGCAGGGGCUUUCCUAUGCAUUGCAGGGUGGUUAACAAGGUCCCUGGCCCCCACCCACUGUAUUCCAAUAGCACCUCCCUCAACAGUGUGAACAACUAAAAGUGUCUCCAGGCAUUGCCAAACAUCCCCUGUGGGUGAAAUCACUCCUAGUUCGGAACCACUGACCUAAAUGGUCCUGACAUGGCAGAGCCGUGUUCUUUCUUCUGCAUCCUUGCUGUCAUCCCAUCGUCACAGCAGCAGCGUAACCACACCUUCAUCACCACCAUCACCACCAUCAUCAUCCCUUAGGCAGCAUCUGUGUCAGUCAUGAUUACUAACAUCCAUUCAUGAUGAUGGAGGACCUUGUGAAGGAGCUGUGCUGCUCCCCAGGUGCCUGGCAUGUUCCUGGAAAUGUGUGCAGACUAACCCAAGAUCCCUGGGAACCCUAAGAGGUUAAUCCUACUAUGCCCAUUUUAGAGAUAAGAAAACUGAUGAUCACGGAGCCUAAGUAACUUUUCUCGAGAUGCGGCAGAACACAACUGUGCCACCGUUUAACCUAAGCGGGAAAUUUUGUUCACUGUACUCUGCUGCCAUACACUUCUCUUUGUUCCAUUAUCUCUGCCCUUAAGCUCCUGGCAAUGGUCAGGCACAGGCUUGGCAUCCACAUCAAUGUAAGGAACAGGAAUCAAGUCAUUCAGCUUAGCUCAAGUAAUUCAAAUUAAUGUUAACCUUGUCUGUUGAGGCAAUAAAGAAUUGUUGGCAACACAGGACUAAUCCCAGAAUUCUGGUUCCAACUUUGACUUGCUCUGUGAGCUGAGACAAGCCACUUGAACUUUCUAAGCCUCCCACACUUUAUUUGUAAAUGCACUAAUACUUGUAAGAAGAUAAGAACCACACCUGGAUACAGUUAACCCUCAGUGAAAGCCGCGUGUUACUAUUAGUGACAGAUGCUCUCCGGGUAAAUCAACAUCUGUCUUUUUGUUCUCUCUGCAAAAGUGGUUGGGGAGUUGCUGUGUGAGCUUAGGGGAGAUUAGAACCCCAGUGUUGGGGUCAGACAGGAAGAUGCCUGGCUGCUUCUCUCAAUUUCUCCUCUGAGAAAUGGCAGCUUGUCUUGGACAGAGCCCAGCCUGGGUGACAGAGGUCCUGAAUUUCAGUUUUGGGAAUGGACCACAUACAGCAAGACCGAGCCCUGGGCCAGGGAGGAGGCUGGGAGACAACCCAGGGUCACACCAAAGUCAUGCCUAGCGACCUGCCAGGGCCCUGAUUUCCUUAUCUACACAUUAGGCUAGAUAAUCACAAAGCUCCUACAUCAGCAUGUUGUACAACAGACAGUUUUACUCACCUGCUAUUGUAAUGCAUACACUAGCACCAUCUAUUUCAGCGUUGGAUGAGGUCUUUCUCCAGUGCUGACUGGGCUGGCUAAGGCCAGAGAGUGGUCGGGCUCCCUCCCUGGAACAGCUCUCCAAUGGCUGACACCCAUCCUUGCCCAUCUCUGACAGCAGACACCCUGCCCAGGAUUAAGGACCAGAAGUGCAUAUAUAUAUAAUGGAUAGAUAGAUAAAUCAAUAGAGGCUUUUUCCUUUUAUACAUAUUUUAUCUUUUUCUUCCCUUUUAUCUUUCUAUAGCAACAGAUUCUUCAAACAAGCUGCACGCCCAUGUGUACUUAGGCGUGCUUUUCUUAGGCAGAAAGCAGGACAUGCAAUCAGGUUCAUACACAGCAGGUGUGACUUCAUGAACGCAUCUGAAGAACCGAUUGGCUGGACACGUUUUUAAAGAUGUCUCCUCUUGACCUGUAAUCUGAAGAUUGAUUUUGCUGAAAGAAAGGGCUGAAUUGCAGACUCAACCAUUGCACCCU
rnacentral:lncRNA from 10 species